UACGGGGGGGGCAAGCGUUGUUCGGAAUUACUGGGCGUAAAGGGCUCGUAGGUGGCCAACUAAGUCGGACGUGAAAUCCCUCAGCUUAACUGGGAAACUGCGUCCGAUACUGGAUGGCUCGAGUUUGGGAGAGGGAUGCGGAAUUCCAGGUGUAGCGGUGAAAUGCGUAGAUAUCUGGAGGAACACCGGUGGCGAAGGCGGCAUCCUGGACCAACACUGACACUGAGGAGCGAAAGCCAGGGGAGCAAACGGG
rnacentral:rRNA from 1 species